UACGUAGGGGGCAAGCGUUGUCCGGAAUCAUUGGGCGUAAAGCGCGCGUAGGCGGCCGGUAAGUCCGCUGUAAAGUCCAGGGCUCAACCCUGGAAAGCCGGGUGGAUACCGUGUCGGGCUAGAGUCCGGAAGAGGCGAGUGGAAUUCCUGGUGUAGCGGGUGGAAUGGCGCAGAUAUCAAGGAGGAACACCGAUGGCGAAGGCAGCUCGCUG
rnacentral:rRNA from 1 species